UACGUAGGGGGCUAGCGUUGUCCGGAAUCAUUGGGCGUAAAGAGCGUGUAGGCGGUCCGGUAAGUCCGCUGUGAAAGUCGGGGGCUCAACCCUCGAAUGCCGGUGGAUACUGUCGGGCUAGAGUGCGGAAGAGGCGAGUGGAAUUCCUGGUGUAGCGGUGAAAUGCGCAGAUAUCAGGAAGAACACCCAUGGCGAAAGCAGCUCUCUGGGACGGUACUGACGCUGAGACGCGAAAGCGUGGGGAGCGAACAGG
rnacentral:rRNA from 1 species